rnacentral:rRNA from 1 species
CGUAGGGUGCAGGCGUUAAUCGGAAUUACUGGGCGUAAAGCGUGCGCAGGCGGUCUACUAAGACAGGUGUGAAAUCCCCGGGCUUAUCCGGGGAACUGCGCUUGUAACUGGUAGGCUUGAGUGUGGCAGAGGGGGUGGAAUUCCGACGUAGUAGCAGUGAAAUGCGUAGAGAUGUGGAGGAACACCGAUGGCGAAGGCAGCCCCCUGGGCUAACACUGACGCUCAUGCACGAAAGCGUGGGGAGCAAACAGGAUUAGAUACCCUGGUAGUCCACGCCCUAAACUAUGUCAACUGGUUGUCGGGGAAGCAAUUCCUUGGUAACGAAGCUAACGCGUGAAGUUGACCGCCUGGGGAGUACGGCCGCAAGGUUA